AUAGCGCCAUCCGCUGCGUCGUUUAGAGUCCACCAACAGGUGAUGUCCUAGGGCACUUGUCUUUUCCUUUCUGGCUUCCUUCGCUUAGCCUGAGGGUCUCUCGUUCCAGCCCGCGGCGGCAGAUGGCACUCGUUCUGCCGCUUUUUCCUGGCUGUGUGCGAUGCCAUCGCAUAGAUGUCCCCGGGUCUGCGAAGUGCACUCACCUGUCAGUGGACCUUUAGGUGGCUUCCAGAUCUUGGCUCUGCCCCGCGGCGGCAGAUGGCACUCGUUCUGCCGCUUUUUCCUGGCUGUGUGCGAUGCCAUCGCAUGGAUGUCCCCGGGCCUUCGAAGUGCACUCACCUGUCAGUGGACCUUUAGGUGGCUUCCAGAUCUUGGCUCUGGUGAGUAGUGCGGCGACAGACAGAGGGGUGCCCGGGUCUGCUUCCGGGAAAGUUUGGUCCCGGUGAAAUGGAGCUGUUUGGAGGCCGGCUUCGGUCUUUGUGUGGGCCGGCCCGUGUAGGGCUGCUUGGCUGAGACUCUGUCGAGGAGGGAGGCCUUCAGC
rnacentral:lncRNA from 1 species